CCCCUAAGUAACCUCUAGGUGCCCACAGCUUUACCCAAUUAGUGAUCCAAUUACCCAAACAAUUAAGAAAACUAAAUUCAAGAAUAAAUAGCCAAAUAAUAGCUCUCACACUAAGGAACAGAUGCGCGCACACGGUGCGUGCACACACGUGACAGGUAAAGGCUUUUCAUAGAACUGCUCAGCAGACACGUUCACAGACAUUUUGGGGGGAGGUGCUCAAACCAAAACAAAAGGGCACCCAUCGCCAAAAUGAUUCAUGAAAUUAAAAAAAAAAAAUUAAAAUAAAGUAGGAUAUUUUCAACUUACAUAUUUACCCAGAUACCCCAGCCUUACCUCAGUACCACUCCUGUAAGAGUACAGCCCCAGCUCCCACAGCGCUGGCAUCAACUUAAAUGGCAAGGAAAAGUUUGGAGCAGACAAGACAGGGUUACAACUGAGAAGCCACUUGAGAUCCUCAAAAGACUCUUGGCACUCACAUGACCAACAAAUGGCUUCAACCGACUGAUUAGCUCAGUCAAUGGGGCUGCCAUGGUAUAAAAGUUUUUGCAAAACCUGCGGUAGUACACAGCCAUCCCAAGAAACCCAAGAACUCAUUCAGCUCGUCUGCCAGGCGGAUGUCAUUCAUGGAGUGGGUUUUUUUUGGCUUGUAGUUAGUGAGGUGUUUGAGGCCUCUCCAAACCGAAGCAGAGUCACUUGCUGAGAACUGUUGUUGGAGUUUCUCAGAGUACAGUCGUUUAGCGUCUCUCACCGCCUUGCUAAACUUGUAUUUUGCUUCUGUGUACAAGUCUUUAUCCCUGCUCCUAAAUGCCUGAUCCUUCUGGAGGCGUAGUGUUCUGAGUUCCGCUGUGAACCAGGGUUUGUCGUUGUUGUAACUCACCCCAGUGAGCACAAGACGUAAUUUCAACGUUGAAAUACGGUUGAAAUCGGGUUGAAAUGAGGUCUGAACGUCUAAGACCUCAUUUCAACGUCUUUUCAACCGGCUAAAAAUGUGAUGAAGCAUCAACGUGCCAGAAAACGUCUAUUUGUUGAUAAAUGUGUCAUGUUGUAACGUAAGGUUGAAAGAUAGACGAUAUUAACAUUAAGAUUUUCAUAAUAAUUAAUGAACUGGUCGGCGAAAUUUGGUCUACGCGAAGACGUAAUUUCAACGUAUUUACUAUGUCACUUAAAACUUCAUAAAUAUGAAACUACGGACUGCAUGCUGUUAAUAAGAUGCGUUUAAGACAUAAUAAUGCGGGCACUUUCAAACAUUACUUGUAAACACGUAACUCCGCUCACAUCUGUAACGCGCAUGCGCGAGUUCUUAGACGCCUGCAGAGCUCCGAGCGGACGCAGCACGAGGCGAAGUUACGGCAGCAGAGGGACAUGAACGGGCUGAUAGAACCACGACUACCGGCUCCACUGCUCUGUUUCUGCGGGUGGUGGUUGCAUCUGAUGGAGGUUACGUCUGAUGAUGGUUGUCCCUGCACUGGUCCUGCCUUACCCCUGGCUUAGUAAUCCACAAUAUUAGAAUCAUUUCUAUCGUAGGAAUUGGAUGUACUGUACAUCUUUAAGUCAUUCAUACUCUACACACCUUCUUCCCUACUGUUUUCUACUCAGGUUUCUCCCGGUUGAAGGUUUUUUACAUUUUGGGGGUUUUGGGACAGGAUGUUGCAUGUUUACAGAUUGCAAAGCUGAACAAAAUAAAAUGAUUUGAAUUGAAUAAACACGUUGACCAGAGAAAUCUGCAAUUGAGGGGUGUUCUCUGCACUCUGACUCCCUUUACACAAAGAAUCCUCAAGUGAGGAUGAGGGAGAUGCAGCUGAUUUCAGGUAUACUAUCCCAACUCACAGUGUCACAACUCAAGUGUCUCACAGCCACAUCUUGUUACAGAAUCUAAAAAUGAAGUUCACAAAAUACACCUGCCUUUUCUAUGUGACUGCUUAGUUAAAUUACCCAUGAAAAACAACCGGUUCUUACCGAAAGCUUACGGGAACAGCCGCCAUUACUCCUCACCUAGAAAACAAAAUAAUUAUGGUUAAAAGUAGUUCUCAGUAAUUCAAUACUAAAAUGAGAUAUUUCUAAAACAAUAAGUUACGAGAGGCUGUACUUUAUCGUCCAAUAAUGUAACAGUUUGGGGGUGUUAGGCCCGGUGCGCAGUGGAGGCCACUAAUAAGCAAAAUACCAGCGAUAAAUGGAAACUCGGGGCAAAUGUGCAGGAAGACGUUUUCCAGCUAUUUAGACAGAAAAUGCGAAAAUGUAGGUCGAGAAUGGACUACACACAGGCUUGACAUACACACCCAUGCUCAUAUUUAACCACAAGAAUAAUAUCGCUGAUAAAAACUGGAACAAUGGUAUUGAACCUAUGAUGUGUUUUAUUCAGGUGCAUCCUGUGGAACUCCUCUUUAAUGGCUUCACUGGUUUGUGUCCAGGGAACAAAAAGGUUUUAAAGACGUUUCAGAGCGACGCACACGUUUCUCACGCUCUGCAUACAGCAGCUUUACUAAUAUUCUAAUGUUGUAUAGAAAACUGACGUUUGCAGAAAACGUAAUGCUACACAAAGAAUGUGCUCGUAUGUGAGAGCAUGUGCACGAUGAGGGACGUUACUUAUAUGAGGACGGAUGAGGUUAUGUACAUAUUUGAUGGACUGUGAAGAAAAAACAGUCAAACAAGUAGUUAUCUGGAAAUUACAAUAUAUCUAAUCGGGCCUCAAUAUUCUCUCCCGACGUGUUUAGCACCCUGCGAAGUAAAACCACUUCUUCAUCAACAGCAGUGCUGUAGUGGUAAAAUUAGAGGUUGGUAAACUCUGAAUUUUGUGAUCAUACAGACCUCGACGCGAUGCGAAGCAACGCAACACAAAGCGUCGCGACUCUGUAAGGCUGUCCUGGCUAUAUUGCAUUAUGUUAUCAGUAAAAGUCAUAUACAAUCAAUGACAAUGAAUAAAUGUGUUAGUAGUUUGUAGUUUAUUAAAUUUAAGAAAACAGUAAAGAAAAGUAUGUCAACACAACACAACAACACAAUUGCAGAUUAAGAACUAUGUACAUACGGAGUCUCCUUUUUACAGUAGUGCCCAGAGGGCCUCCUUGUCCUC
ensembl:lncRNA